AGAAACGAGGUCUAAACAUGAAAUGAGAAACAAAGUCUAAACAUGAAAUGAGAAACGAGGUCUAAACAUGAAACAAGGUCUACACAUGAAAUGAGAAACGAGGUCUAAACAUGAAACAAGAAACGAGGUCUAAACUUGAAACAACGUCUAAACAUGAAAUGAGAAAUGAGGUCUAAACAUGAAAGGAGAAACGAGGUUUAAACAUGAACGAGGUCUAAACAAGAAACGAGGUCUAAACAUGAAACAAGGUCUAAACAUGAAACGAGAAACGAAGUGUAAACAUAAAACG
ensembl:lncRNA